CCCCUCUCAGAUUCACAUCUGGAGAGUGUCCCGUACUCUACCAGUCUUGGCUACGGGAGGGAGAGUCAGGCAGAGGCCUACCCAUUCCAUCUGUAGCUUGGGCAUUGGCUAGUGAGUGGAAGGCAAUAUGCUACAAGU
rfam:Ornithorhynchus anatinus chromosome 12, whole genome shotgun sequence.